rnacentral:rRNA from 1 species
GUAGCGGUGAAAUGCAUAGAUAUCACGCAGAACCCCGAUUGCGAAGGCAGCCUGCCAAGCCAUUACUGACGCUGAUGCACGAAAGCGUGGGGAUCAAACAGGAUUAGAUACCCUGGUAGUCCACGCAGUAAACGAUGAUCACUAGCUGUUUGCGAUACACUGUAAGCGGCACAGCGAAAGCGUUAAGUGAUCCACCUGGGGAGUACGCCGGCAACGGUGAAACUCAAAGGAAUUGACGGGGGCCCGCACAAGCGGAGGAACAUGUGGUUUAAUUCGAUGAUACGCGAGGAACCUUACCCGGGCUUAAAUUGCAGAUGAAUUACGGUGAAAGCCGUAAGCCGCAAGGCAUCUGUGAAGGUGCUGCAUGGUUGUCGUCAGCUCGUGCCGUGAGGUGUCGGCUUAAGUGCCAUAACGAGCGCAACCCUUGCCACUAGUUACUAACAGGUAAAGCUGAGGACUCUGGUGGGACUGCCAGCGUAAGCUGCGAGGAAGGCGGGGAUGACGUCAAAUCAGCACGGCCCUUACAUCCGGGGCGACACACGUGUUACAAUGGCGUGGACAAAGGGAAGCCACCUGGCGACAGGGAGCGAAUCCCCAAACCACGUCUCAGUUCGGAUCGGAGUCUGCAACCCGACUCCGUGAAGCUGGAUUCGCUAGUAAUCGCGCAUCAGCCAUGGCGCGGUGAAUACGUUCCCGGGCCUUGUACACACCGCCCGUCAAGCCAUGGGAGCCGGGGGUACCUGAAGUGCGUAACCGCGAGGAGCGCCCUAGGGUAAAACUGGUGACUGGGGCUAAGUCGUAACAAGGUAGCCGUACCGGAAGGUGCGGCUG